AACGAACGCUGGCGGCAGGCUUAACACAUGCAAGUCGAACGAUGUAGCAAUACAUAGUGGCGCACGGGUGAGUAACGCGUGGGAAUAUACCUUAUAGUGGGGAAUAACUUUGGGAAACUAAAGCUAAUACCGCAUACGCCCGAGAGGGGAAAGAUUUAUCGCUAUAAGAUUAGCCCGCCUGAGAUUAGGUAGUUGGUUGGGUAAUGGCCUACCAAGCCUACGAUCUCUAGCUGGUCUGAGAGGAUGAUCAGGCACACUGGAACUGAGACACGGUCCAGUUUCCUACGGGAGGCAGCAGUGGCGAAUAUUAGGCAAUGGAGGAAACUCUGACCCUGCCAUGCCGCGUGAAUGAUGAAGGUCUUAGGGUUGUAAAGUUCUUUCGACGAUGAAGAUAAUGACGGUAGUCGGAGAAGAAGCCCCGGCUAACUUCGUGCCAGCCGCCGCGGUAA
rnacentral:rRNA from 1 species